GAUCAUGGCUCAGGAUGAACGCUGGCGGCGUGCUUAACACAUGCAAGUCGAACGGGGUUACGAUGUGUGAGGAAAGAAGCUUGCUUGGACUAAACUUUCGUAACCUAGUGGCGGACGGGUGAGUAACGCGUGGGUAACCUGCCGUAUGCCGGGGGACAACAGUUGGAAACGACUGCUAAUACCGCAUAAGCGCACAGAACCGCAUGGUUCAGUGUGAAAAAACUCCGGUGGCAUACGAUGGACCCGCGUCUGAUUAGCCAGUUGGCGGUGUAACGGACCACCAAAGCGACGAUCAGUAGCCGGCCUGAGAGGGUGAACGGCCACAUUGGGACUGAGACACGGCCCAAACUCCUACGGGAGGCAGCAGUGGGGAAUAUUGGACAAUGGGAGAAACCCUGAUCCAAGCGACGCCGCGUGAGUGAAGAAGUAUUUCGGUAUGUAAAGCUCUAUCAGCAGGAAAGAAAAUGACGGUACCUGACUAAGAAGCCCCGGCUAACUACGUGCCAGCAGCAGC
rnacentral:rRNA from 1 species